rnacentral:misc_RNA from 1 species
UUGCCUUCUUGUAACAUUAGCCACCCGUCGGUCUGCACCACGAAAUCCCUCUCCCUCUCCUCUCUCUUGUUGUCUCUCGGGGCAGGCUUCACACACCACUCCUCCGUCUUUCGUUUCUGCUUCUUUCUUACCCAUCGGAGACCCCUCUCUGUGCAUCUCUUGUCUGCCCCCCCCCCCUCCACCCCCGAUGUGUGUUGGUGCCCUCUAGGAGGGAGAGAGAAAAAAACAACAACAGGCAAACCACAUUAACAUCAGAAAGCGCGCGACACGGCGCUGCUGCUGGACUGGGACAUACAGCUACGCGGCAUCUCCUCUUUCCUUCUCCUCCAUAGGAGAGAAAGAGCAGCGAAGGAGGCGGAGGUCGGUGCUCGCCAGUCUACCGGCCACCCACACACCCCGCCCGUCUACUCAACAGUCAAGCGAGCCGACAUUUUGGCGCAAGAGGGGUUGUCGCGAGGCCAGCAACGCACACACACACAAAAAAGGGAAGGCUUCGGGGCCGUUCUCGUAGGAGGGAGGGUGCAGUGCCAGAGUACGCGCAAAAGAAACGAGAAUGGGAGGGGCACCGAGUAGGGAGACGCUGGUGCGACACAUCGUGCGUGACCCUCGCGUCCGGGGAAGCGCCGCUCCAAUCGUCGGGCACUCCGCGUCUCCUGGCGCUAACAAUGCCGGAGAGCCGCCGACUGACGUGCCGACGGCGACGUCGCAGCAGCCGGAAAUUAUACUGAUCCCCCUCAUCCCUGAUUACUUCCCCAGCUCCGCCUCGCCGCUUUUCCAGCAGCUGCUGCACGUGCGGCGAGAAGCGAACGUAGCUUAUUACUACCGGGAUGCCCGCAGCAUGGCGACGGAGCACACGGUGGUGCGAGAUCAGAUCGGCACCGACAAGGAUAUUUACAACUGGUACAUGAGCCUCAGCGAGCAGCGGCUGCUGGAGACGGACAACGAGCUGAUCGCUCUGAGCCGCGCAGGGCGAGUAGUGUCACCAGUGCCAUGCGCCGUUGCCUUUGUGUACAAGGCAAGCGCCACCGCAGCCGUCGCUGCCGCGGGUGGUGCUGUGGCGUCCACCACCGACACACCAUCUCUCGCUAGCAGCAUUGGCGGAGGUAAGCAGAAGAACGGCAGAAACGGCAGGCUGCAUCGGCAUGGCAAGGUCAGCGGCGCCGGUGCGUCGAACGGGUACAUGACGAUCGAGAACACGGUGCGGUUGCCGCACUACAACCUGCGCGUGCGCAUCUUCGGCUUUGUCGGCGAUACGCGCUUUUGCCCGCCAUCGAUGCACCACAGCCAGGCCGCCAGGCUGCCCAUGUGCCUCACGAUUUUUCUGUCGAAGAGCGCGGGUGGCAACCACCGCGCGCAGGUGACUCUUCUCGCGGCACACACAUACAUAACACAGAUGCAGGCCAUCGGUAUCCUGCGACCCCACGACGAAGCGCCGCAUGUGGGCGGUGGAGUGGUGCAAGGUCUGGCGGCGCGGGCGGCCGUCAGAGCAAACGCGGCGGGGCGCGAGGCGGACCCUCUCGCGGCGCUGCGCCUCACUGCUGCUACCGGCGCUGGCAGUGCUGCAGCUGCCUACCGAGAUCCGUACGCUGACCCAUACGCUGCCGAUCUUCCUGCCGCGGCCGAUCCGUACGCGAUCGCCGACGAUGAUCACAGUAGUGACGUUGAGGGGAAGCGCCACUUGCCACUGCAUAUGGCCAGCUUAGUCCCACGAGAUGGGUUGAAGACGCACCUGGAAGGCCUGGGCACCAUGAUCACCUCCGCCGCCGCGGACGUCGCCAAGGAGACAGUGUUGCGCCGUCCCAUCGAAAUCGUCAUGCACCGCGCCGAUGUGCCGGCUCUGUGCUACCUGCGUGAGCUGCGCGCGCGCAUGGGUCAGAGCUCCGCGUGCGCGACCCCCGCGAUCAGCGAGAAGAAGAGUAAAGCGCCUACGCCGUUGUCUUGUGCGAAGCCGAUCUCAACGGCACCGACGAUGACGUCGUCGUCUCGCGGCGCCAGCAACGAGGGGGACUGCGGUGACGACAUAUGCGCGGCACCCGCGAACAGCAACGCGGGCUUACGGCAGUCCUGUGCCCCGAACGAGUCACGGGUGGCGAAGACGGAUGCCAACUCUAGCAUCAGCGCCGUUGCGACGCGCCCCGGAGGUGAUGCUGCUGAGGUUGGCUCUGAGUCGCUGAGGUACCAAAUCCGGACGGUGAUUUGCGCAGAUGAGCUGCGCGGCUCCGUGGCGGCGGAUUCGAUCGGCCGCGUCCUGUUGUGGGCAUCGCGCUUCUACACCGGACACUUCGAGCAGCUUGUGGGGGGAGAGGCGGCGAAGCUGCGGCAGGAGCUCGCGCAGCGGAACCUGACAGAGAGCCCGCUUGAUGGCACGCUCUUGCUGACCGACGAGGAGCCGCGGCCUCCGAGGGUGACCCCGAAGGUCGGCGACGUCUGGAUCCCGUCAAACGAGGCCUACGUCGAAGCGCACUACACGGAACACGAAGGAGACGGGUGGGCCAAGGUGGCAGCGGGAACGGUGCUGCGGUACGUCACGUCUGCGUCCUCGGCUUCCUCGACACCGGCUCCAGACGCCUUCUGGCGCAUCUCGCCCAACGAGUUUGCCGAGGACAUUCUCUUGUCGCUCUGCCGGAAAGCGUGUCAGGCAUCGCGGCGGGCACCACCGACGGACUCGCAUUGGCUGCUGAGCGGCAAGACCGGCGUGCCGGAGGGGCUCGGCAUGGGCCUCUUAAUCUGGCGCGAGCUGUGUGCGGGGCAGGUGGUCUUUUACGGGACCACACCCGAGUUUCUCAAGAAGUGGAUCCAGUCAGGGGCGGAUGUGGAGCAGGCGUACCGCAACCACAUCAAGCGAUCGCACUCGAGCAAGGAGGCGACCUCCGCGGCAGAGGCGGAGCCUGGCGGCGCGACAGCCGCGAGGGAUGACGACGCCGUAGCGGGAGCUCAGUCGCUGUCGAUGACUGUUGCCGCCACCACUGCCGCCUCCAGUGGGUUACGCAGCUCCUAUGAGGGCAACUUCCCAUCGAACCCGUCUGGCGCGUCCGAUGGGCCCGACAAGAGUGGCAGCAGUGACGGCAGACGCGACAAGGGGUCCGGCUCAUCCUCGAUGGAGCUAUACAGCGCACACACCGGUUUUGUAUCGGCUUCGGUGCAGGCGAAAGCAAUCUUGUCGCCCACGUCGCCCACGGAGAGUGGCAGUCACGCAGACGACGGUGCCAAGCCAAAGCGGGUCCGCACCGACGACCAGCCACGCACACCCUCGUCGUCCACGCCGCCUGUCGCGGUCGGCCGUCUCGCGCAGCCACACAACGUUUCUGACACCCCUCGCAAAAAUGCUCGACAGGGGAGGGUUGUGCCUGCCCAGCAGCGCUUGCAGGUCGCCCUGCCGGUCGCGUCCAGCACCUCCAUGACCUUGUGGACGCAUUCAGCGAGCACUGUAGGAACGCCCAACUCGCACACGGGGGUGAGCCCCGCGUCGGCAAGCAUGGGCAGCCACAGCAGCUCUGCAAGCCUCUCUUACCGCCAGCCGUCGCAGCGCAGGUCUCCGGCUGCUGCUACCACGACGUGCUGGAUUGGUGUCCCCGAGUCGGCCCCGGCCGACAACGCCGAUGUGCCCACUGUAAACGUGGUCGUGAGGCAGCGCCGCAGCGUGCGCGCGACGCCAAGUUGUUCUGCUACCGUCGGCACCACGCCUCUACGAGCCAGUCAAAUGAGCGAUAGCCCCCACCACUUCCACACAUCGCGCGGCGUACCAAGCAUGCCAUCCGUCAGUACACAGACGAGCGUCGUCGGUGCGACUUCUGGGGCGUCUGCUGAGUACAGCGCGCAGGCAACAGGCUCUGCGGUGAUUCAACCGUGCGGGUCGACACCGGUGCGCAUCCCGGGCAGGUGGGGUUCCAGCGAGGAUGGUACGCACCUGCAGGGUGGGCACUCGCCGGCGCCUGCCGAGCAAGGCAAAUACCUGCGUGCCGAGGGAGAGCUGCUCCCGCACUCUUGCACGUCGAACAACACGACGGGGCUUGCCGAUGCGCGGCGACCGCCACCGCAGCGCUCCGCUGCUGUGACCAUUAGGCCUGGCUACGGUACCGGCAACAUUGCCAGCACUCCGCAGCUGCCCGCAACGCCAGCCAAGUGGAACACGUCCAGCGCGGCACAGUCGUUUUCUAUGCGUGGCACCUCCAUUACCUUUGCAAGCGGCUCUGCGUCAUCGGCGCACGCCCGUCACGCCUCCCUGCUGCACUCCAUCCGGCACACCGAGCCGUGCCAGCCGGUGUCUUCAGCUCGCUCAUCGUCGAUGUCGACGGCGGAGCUGCUCUGGUCGAGUUUCUGCUCGAACGCCUCGCCGAUGUAUCGAAAGGGGUCGCUGCGUCCGCCGCAGCCGGAUACGGUUGAGGGUGACGUUGGCCGUAUGCACGCAUUACAGCACACUCCGGUGCUACAUUCUAGUGACGAUCCAGUGCGCAGGGGCUGUGGCGCCGUCUCUCCUGUGGGCAUGCCGGCUGUAGCGACAGCACUGAUGGCCGGCACGCCGCGUCCUGGCGGCGAGGCGACGACAAUGCCGUUCUCGGGCCACAGCAGCGCCGCGCACACGCCUCGUCAAGGCGAUCUGGUGAACAGCGCGAAGAACUCCGUCGGCUCCGGCAAGUACCGCUGGGACUGGCGCGGCGUCUCUUGGCCGGCAUAGCGACAAGGGUGACGCAUCGAUAUAGAGGAGCGGGACAGCCGGACAGAGGCGUCCAAGAAGAUUAUAAGGGGAAGAGAGGAGGUGGGAUUCGGUGCGUGUAAGGGGCUCAGGCUCACGCUCUCCUUUACCGUGAUGCCAGAAAUGGUACGACAGUGGCUUGAACUCAGCCCUCCGCUCCUUCUCUUUGCCACACGUGGCACGAGGGCUGCCGAGACAGCAGUGCAUCUGAUUCUCUGUACGCGCUCCUUCACACCUUUGUGGUGAUGGUGGUGUGGUGGUCUCUCGUGUCUCUUUCCGUUUCCGUGGACAUGAGAGCAUCAGGAAUGACGGAGGAAUCGAGACGCUGAGCGUCUUGAGCGUGCGAUGUGCCAUCCGCCUCUUUUCGCGCUCUCUCUUGUCUAUGUUUCGUGUUUUUUUUUUCUGUACUCCCUUGGCCGCCCGUCUCCCUCCGUGCCCUAUCUCAAAAUUGUUUUGUUUCUUCGUGCUGUCUUGUGUGCCGCUUCAAAAAGGUGAGGCUCGCCGCUGCUGCUGCCGCCGCUAUUGAUGUGGUGGCGUUUCAUUUUCCUGCGUGCUUUACUUGUAAAAUGUGGCUGCUCUGUCUUUCUCUCGCGGAUAGUGACGACUCAUCUUUUCCGUUCCGUCUACGUGGGUGCACGGCUGCGCGUGCCGUUGUUUUCUAUCGUAUCUGCCUGUUCCCUUCAUGUUCUCAUCCCCUCUUUUCUGUGUGUGUGUGUGUCUUCGCCCCUUUCCCCAACCCCCCCUCUCUCUCUCUCUCUCGCUGUUGUGCUUCCUCCUUCCUCUCCCUUUUGUUGUUUGUAUUGGUUUGCUCGCUUGGGUCCCUUCCUCUCCCCUCUCUGUGCCUGUGUGUCUCUGCGUGUGUGUCUCUCUGUCUGUGUGUGUGCACGUGGCUUAUUCGCCUCGCCGAAGCCGUCCUUGCGACUCUAUGAGUGCUCCCUCUCUUCGGGUGUUCUCCGCCUCUCCUCCCCGACCUCUGCCGGACCCCCUUUCGUUCAUGUACCUUCUCAACCGCUCCUCCCACUGUUCCGUCGCGGCCGCGCUCAAUCCCCUUCACCAUUCCCACGCCGGCGAAACGAUGACAGAGGGGGGGGGAAGGGAGGGGAGGCGACGGACUUCUGUUCUGCGGCCGCAACGUGGGUGAGGGAUGUGAAGGGAAAAGUGGUGUCACUUGCCAUGAGGGCACCGUAACGUGUUGCCGUAGUUUCAGCUUCACGGUCGACGUCUUCCACCCAGCCUGUCGAGCCCUCGCUGACCUCACGUCUUCGAGAGGUGUGCCACGUCGCGAGAGAGAGAGGGGCCGAUGAGUGGCGGCUGCACUUGAUGCGGUACGCAAAGUGGCGACGAAGACGAGCACACAAAAAAAUCGAGAACGUGCAGCAGGGAGGUGAGACGCACCUUCCAUUCACCAAGCGGCGCUCAUCAAUCAACUCUGAUCACCACCGCCGAUCUCUCAUCCCUUGUUCUCGCGGCUGUGACUGGUGCUUUUUUGUGUGCGUACACGUGCCCUGCGGCUGCCGCUGCCGUUGUCGGUCUGUUCGCUUUCUUUUAUACUUACUAUCUCCUUCCCCCCUAGCCGUCUGGGUUUUGAUCGCGAAGCUGCAGAGGUGCACGCCGGUGGACGGGCGUGUGCACUCAGGUGCGCGUUGGAUGAGUGUCUUUGUACUUUUCUCUUGUGUGACAGUGUGGCCUCAUGUGCGUGUAUGCCUGUGUUGAAGUGAGUGUGCGUGUCGUCCUCAUGGCGGACGACGCGGAGGCGGCAGGAAACAGGAUGCGCUACAUCCUCGUGUUGCUUUACAGGCCGGCAAUCUCAGUGCUAACGCGGAUGUUGUGUGUGCGUGUUUUCUCUCUUGCCUUCCGUUUUGUUUGUUCUCUACGCGCUUCUCCCUUUUUGCUUUCUCUGCCUUUUUUCGGUCAUGUCUGUUUCUUCGACCACCUCCUUCGCUUUCUCUGAGCGCGCGUACUUGCGUGCCUCUGUGUCGUCACGCGUCUUGUGCGGGCUUGACUCUUCGCACAUAGACUCUCCCCUCCCGCGCAAUGGGAUGCAAGGUGCCUCGAGCUACCUCUUCACCCUUUCCCUCACCUCAAAGAACAGCACAAAAUGGUGGAAGGACAUAUCUGAUCUCUCAGUGUGCGUGCGUGUGUGUCGACAUUAUCAUUUUUUUUGUUUGUUGUUCGAUUCUCUUUGUCUCGGUGUUUUCGCCCCCCCCCCCUCUAACGCUACAACGGAUGUGCGCGUGUGCACUGCUCUCUUCCUUUCUGUUCUCGUUUCGAUGUCUUUACGGAUGCAACGACUCGCCCUUCCAUCACACACACACACACACACACACGUACACACACAGCUUUUUUCUUAAUGUUUUUUUUGUUUGUUUGCCUUUCUGUGUUUCCAUAUUCUUCGCUCUCUCCUCUUUCACAUGUACACGCGCGCGCUCGAUGUUAUAACAGCGCUUCUUCGUUUGCCGUGUUGGCAUUGUCGUCGUCUUUUAUGCUCCGCUGGUCUUUUGGGAUGCCAAGCACGGCAUUCUCCCUCUCUCUCACACACACAACAUAUAUACAUAUAUACACAUAUAUUGUGUGCAUGUGUGUGUGACUUGAUUUUUACACUUGGGCAAUUUGUGCGCGCGUGUAUGCUUGCCGGCAGCACGGAGAGAGAAGGGGAGACAGAGGGAGGUGACAUAGGAUCGUCUUUGCUUCUCUUGUCUGUCGUUCAGCUGCUGCUCUUCCAUUCUCCUCACUACCGCUGCUGCACAUUCGCCUCUGCGAGCACAAACAGCCAAGGAAAACACCAGUUUCGAGUGUCGAGCAGCGACGGCGUGCAGCGGUCAGUGACGUAUAUCUGUACGCGCGUCUUCCUCUCAUCAAGCUGCACCCUUCUCUUCUCAUACCCUUUGCCCCCCCCCCCCCCCCCCCCCCCCACUUUCUCCACGCCUGACGCGCAUUUUUUUCUCGCUUGACCUAUUGAUUUCUUCGUUCCGUCUCUGGUUCGCGUUGCCCAGCACGGCAGCUGACCUGCUCGGUCUCUACCACUACCACCACCACCCGCUCUCUCCUGCAGCACGGCAAAUAACACACACAUGCAUACCUAUCUGCAGACCUGUCGAGGGAGAACAAACGAGGGCAGCAGUGUAGGCCAUGUCUCCUCUUUUUCUCGCCAUGGCCGUCGUAACAAGCUUCCUUCCCUAUCUACAUGCUUUCUUUCUUCCCACCCCUUCCCCUCUAUUUCUCGCCCCACGCACUCGCACGCGCACUCGUCGAUCGAUGUCUCCUAUCACACUUUUCUGAUAG